rnacentral:piRNA from 1 species
UGAAAUGAUACUCUUAUCUGCUCUGGUGU